AGUGAACGCUGGCGGUAGGCCUAACACAUGCAAGUCGAACGGCAGCACAGUAAGAGCUUGCUCUUACGGGUGGCGAGUGGCGGACGGGUGAGGAAUACAUCGGAAUCUACUUUUUCGUGGGGGAUAACGUAGGGAAACUUACGCUAAUACCGCAUACGACCUACGGGUGAAAGCAGGGGAUCUUCGGACCUUGCGCGAUUGAAUGAGCCGAUGUCGGAUUAGCUAGUUGGCGGGGUAAAGGCCCACCAAGGCGACGAUCCGUAGCUGGUCUGAGAGGAUGAUCAGCCACACUGGUACUGAGACACGGUCCAGACUCCUACGGGAGGCAGCAGUGGGGAAUAUUGGGCAAUGGGCGCAAGCCUGAUCCAGCCAUACCGCGUGGGUGAAGAAGGCCUUCGGGUUGUAAAGCCCUUUUGUUGGGAAAGAAAAGCAGCAGGUUAAUACCCCGCUGUUCUGACGGUACCCAAAGAAUAAGCACCGGCUAACUUCGUG
rnacentral:rRNA from 1 species